rnacentral:rRNA from 1 species
UACGAAGGGGGCUAGCGUUGCUCGGAAUCACUGGGCGUAAAGGGUGCGUAGGCGGGUCUUUAAGUCAGGGGUGAAAUCCUGGAGCUCAACUCCAGAACUGCCUUUGAUACUGAAGAUCUCGAGUUCGGGAGAGGUGAGUGGAACUGCGAGUGUAGAGGUGAAAUUCGUAGAUAUUCGCAAGAACACCAGUGGCGAAGGCGGACUCACUGGCCCGAUACUGACGCUGAGGCACGAAAGCGUGGGGAG